rnacentral:rRNA from 1 species
CCUACGGGAGGCAGCAGUGGGGAAUCUUGCGCAAUGGCCGAAAGGCUGACGCAGCGACGCCGCGUGUGGGAGGAAGCCCUUCGGGGUGUAAACCACUGUUGCCCGGGACGAAACAGAGAUUUUCAUCUCUUUGACGGUACCGGGUGAGGAAGCACCGGCUAACUCCGUGCCAGCAGCCGCGGUAAUACGGAGGGUGCGAGCGUUGUCCGGAAUCACUGGGCGUAAAGGGCGCGUAGGCGGCGCAUCAAGGGUGUGGUGAAAGCCCGGGGCUUAACCCCGGGUCUGCCGUGCCGACUGAUGUGCUUGAGCACUGUAGAGGCAGGUAGAAUUCCGGGUGUAGCGGUGGAAUGCGUAGAGAUCCGGAAGAAUACCGGUGGCGAAGGCGGCCUGCUGGGCAGUGGCUGACGCUGAGGCGCGACAGCGUGGGGAGCAAACAGGAU